UACGUAGGUGGCAAGCGUUGUCCGGAAUUAUUGGGCGUAAAGCGCGCGCAGGCGGCCUCUUAAGUCUGAUGUGAAAUCUUGCGGCUCAACCGCAAGCGGCCAUUGGAAACUGGGGGCGUUGAGUACAGAAGAGGAGAGGUGGAAUUCCAACGUGUAGCGGUGAAAUGCGUAGAUAUGUGGAGGAACACCAGUGGCGAAGGCGACUCUCUGGUCUGUAACUGACGCUGAGGCGCGAAAGCGUGGGGAGCAAACAGG
rnacentral:rRNA from 1 species